UGAGGAAUAUUGGGCAAUGCCCGCAAGGGUGACCCAGCAACGCCGCGUGGAGGAUGAAUGUCGUAAGAUUGUAAACUCCUGUUAGAGGGGAAGAAUAGUACCGGUUGGACCGGUAUAUGACUGUACCCUCAGAGAAAGCCCCGGCUAACUACGUGCCAGCAGCCGCGGUAAUACGUAGGGGGCAAGCGUUGUCCGGAUUUACUGGGUGUAAAGGGCGCGCAGGCGGGAUAAAAAGUCAGUGGUGAAAUCCUACAGCUUAACUGUAGAACUGCCUUUGAUACUUUUAUUCUUGAGUUCGGGAGAGAGAGACGGAAUUCCAGGUGUAGUGGUAAAAUACGUAGAUAUCUGGAAAAACACCGGUUGCGAAGGCGGUCUCUUGGUCCGACACUGACGCUGAGGCGCGAAAGCGUGGGGAGCAAACA
rnacentral:rRNA from 1 species